rnacentral:sRNA from 16 species
AAUGAAACGUGGACGUAUUCCAAAUUUGUUUAAAAAUCGAUCAAUAUGCACUGGCACUGCGCCAAAGCUGACUAAUACUUGAAGUGUUGGCGCGGCGCAUCCCCCCCAAGUGGCGCGCCGAUAAAGGUGCUCAGGGACCGCGUACCUUUGUUUUACUCCUAAUGGUCUUAACCCGGAUUCCCCCCCCAGAACCCGG